rnacentral:lncRNA from 1 species
UCCAGAUUUCUGGGUGUUCAUAAUGUGUUUGUUUUAUGUCUUUUCACAUUGAUAUUCUGCAUACAAGUUCUUUGUUUAAAUUGAAAGAGCUUAUUAAAAUUCAUUUUAGUGCACUUAGGAAGAUACCCUGCCCAUUUUCCCUUUGGAUAUGUACAGAAAUUUUUGCUUGGGUGUACAUUUGUGAGAGUGAUGAGCAAAAAUGAUGUAGUCACUGCCACAAGAAAGAUUAAAAUUACUAUUUUUUAAACCUUUCUGACAUUUAGGAUUUUCUUUUCAGAUCGUAGUAUCUGCAGUCUUCUAGAAUGUGGAAUAGCCAACUUUGAGGAUCUGCUUUAAAAGGAACUGAAAUAAAAAGCAGAGAGUAUCAUUUGGGGAAUCUCAGCAUGGUCCUUGGUACCACAGUGUCUAGUCAAGGGUAAAAUGAUGACCUCAUAGUCCAUAGCAUAUCUGUUCUCUCUCUCUCUCUCUCUCUCUCUCUCUCUCUCUCUCUCUCUGUGUAUGUGUGUGUGUGUGUGUGUGUGUGUGUGUGUGUGUGUGUGUGCGUGCGCACAAGCACGCAUGAAUGUAUGCAUGCAUGUCUAUGAGUUUGUGAGUUCAUGUACACGCCACAGCACACAUAUAGAGGUGUGGAGGUCAAAGACUUCAGCUGUCAGUCCUAUCAUUCCACUUUGUUUGAGGCAAUGUCUCUUCUUCACCAUCGUGUAUGCCAAGCUACAUGGCCAACAAACUUGAGAGGAAUUUUUUCUCUCACUGGGUCAUUAACAGCUUCCCUUUGUAUGCACAGAAAGAUCUUGUGUCAUGAAGCUGCCAGGUGGCCCACUGAAAAGCCGCUGCCGUACCACGAUCUUGGCACUCGUUUCUCCCUUUAGUAGGGUGGUCCUCUCAAGUUUAGCAGUAGCUUUUGCCGUCUCAGCCUCAGAGAGCGAUGCCUGUGCUAUGGAGCUCCUGCUGAGUUCCUUGCGUGCUCCUAUGGCCCCUUCAUACAUGGAGCAUUGAAAAAGUACCCAGGCAACUGAUGUGAUCAUCACCCAUGAUCCCUGCGUGUCUAACUCUUCCCUGCAGGAGACCCCUUCUGGGGUAACCACUGAUGUGAUAGAAAGGCAGCUCACACUCCUUGUCCCUCUGAGAGAACCUAGACCAUAUUUUCCUACCAAGCUCUUGUCACCCAUCGGACAAUCUUGUUUUCCUCAAAUCCAGGACUGCUUAGUCACUGGUCUCUUACUUGCAGUGCAGUCUCCAUGUAAGGAAGAAAAGGAGAUGAAACUUGAAGCCCUGACCCCUUGGGAGAAUCCCUUAUACCACCCUUUCACCAGGCCACAUCUGAGUCAGGAGCUGU